GUUUGUGUAUUGGAGACCAUUGCACGGAGUGAUCAUCGUUUUAAUUUGAAUAUUUUGUUAAACAAAAUUAAAAAAAAAGAAAAAACAAUGAUUACAGAGAUAAAAAUCGAUGUUUUGCUAAACAAGUGUUCUGAUUGUUACAAGUGACAUAAUCACAAAUUUGAUAUUUUGUGAAAAAAAUUAAAAAAUUGAGUGAAUUUUUUUUGUUUAAUGUCCUAUCAGUGAGCUAAAAAUUACUUGGAUUUUUUGGCCAAUUUUAAAUUGAAUUUUAUCACAUUUUCAGCAGAUUUUCGUGUCUUUUCGUCACUUUUUGGUGCUUUUCGAGUGCAGACGAUCUCGAACGUUUCACUUUCGCUUCCGAACGCUUUUCGAGUCCAGAAUUUGCUGGAUUUCAUCAAUUUAUUACUGAAGUUCUUUAUUAUCUUUAGUUUAGUUUCUUCUAAAAAUGCCACGAAGAGCAAGAGCUGACAUUGGACGUCGGUCGCGUAGAACGCAAAAGAGAUCAAACGAAAGGGAAAAUCAAUCGCAAGAACAGCGAGAACUAGAGAUUGCAAAUACAAGGGAACGUGUUGCAAGAUCGGGUUCAGAUCGUAGUCCGACAAGUAUUAAUCAAAAUGUUCAAAGGCGUGCCGCACAAAUCUACGUUAAUGUUGUUUGUUGUUGUUGGUGCUGGAUUUAGAUAUAAUCACGCAAUUAAUUACAGUUUGCAUAAGUUUGUGGUUAUGCACAUAGAAUUAUGAUGCGACAAAAUCAGGAAAAUCAUAUUUUGAAAUGUCGGAGACUCAUCAAUAUGUCGCAGAGUGGCAUUUCGGCGGAAAAAAUUGGAUUUUUCCACUUUCCAAUUUCAAAACUUUAAUGAUUUUGUUUUGUAAAGAAAUAUUUGGAUAAGAAAAAUUCAACAAGGUUUUUUAUAAAAAGUGAAAUUUUAUAUAAUUAUAAUUAUAUAAUCUAACAGAAGUCGACGGAAAGUUAUUUAAUGAAAUCAGAUUAAAAUUAUUGUCCAAAUAAAGAAUUUUUUUGUGUGUAAGUUUA